CCUACGGGUGGCAGCAGUGGGGAAUAUUUCACAAUGGGCGAAAGCCUGAUGCAGCAACGCCGCGUGAGCGAUGAAGGCCUUCGGGUCGUAAAGCUCUGUCCUCAAGGAAGAUAAUGAUGGUACCUGAGGAGGAAGCCUCUGCUAACUACGUGCCAGCAGCCGCGGUAAUACGUAGGGUGCUAGCGUUAUCCGGAAUUACUGGGCGUAAAGGGUGCGUAGGUGGUUUCUUAAGUCAGGGGUGAAAGGCUACGGCUAAACCGUAGUAAGCCUUUGAAACUGGGAAACUUGAGUGCAGGAGAGGAGAGUGGAAUUCCUAGUGGAGCGGUGAAAUGCGUAGAUAUUAGGAGGAACACCAGUGGCGAAGGCAGCUCUCUGGACUGUAACUGACACUGAGGCACGAAAGCGUGGGGAGCAAACAGGAUUAGAUACCCUAGUAGUC
rnacentral:rRNA from 1 species